CCAAUAGCGUAUAUUAAAGUUGUUGCAGUUAAAAAGCUCGUAGUUGAAUUUCGGGAUCAAUACGUCGGUCGUGCCUCCGGUACGCACUGUCGUCGUUGAUUUCUCCCUUCUGAUGAAACGCGAUGUCAUUAAUUUGGUGUUGCGGGGAGUCAGAACUGUUACUUUGAAAAAAUUAGAGUGUUUAAAGCAGGCAAACGCUUGAAUACAUUAGCAUGGAAUAAUGAAAUAGGACGUUCGAACCUAUUUUGUUGGUUUCUAGGAUCAACGUAAUGAUUAAUAGGGAUAGUUGGGGGCAUUAGUAUUCAAUUGUCAGAGGUGAAAUUCUUGGAUUUAUUGAAGACUAACUACUGCGAAAGCAUUUGCCAAGGAUGUUUUCAUUAAUCAAGAACGAAAGUUAGGGGAUCGAAGACGAUCAGAUACCGUCGUAGUCUUAACCAUAAACUAUGCCGACUAGGGAUCGGAUGAAGUUAAUUUUUUAAUGACUCAUUCGGCGCCUUACG
rnacentral:rRNA from 1 species